rnacentral:rRNA from 1 species
GACGAACGCUGGCGGCGUGCCUAAUACAUGCAAGUCGAACGAGAGCGACCGGUGCUUGCACUGGUCAAUCUAGUGGCGAACGGGUGAGUAACACGUGGGUAACCUGCCCAUCAGAGGGGGAUAACAUCCGGAAACGGAUGCUAAAACCGCAUAGGUCUUCGAGCCGCAUGGCUUGAAGAGGAAAAGAGGCGCAAGCUUCUGCUGAUGGAUGGUCCCGCGGUGCAUUAGCUAGUUGGUGAGGUAACGGCUCACCAAGGCCGUGAUGCAUAGCCGACCUGAGAGGGUGAUCGGCCACAUUGGGACUGAGACACGGCCCAAACUCCUACGGGAGGCAGCAGUAGGGAAUCUUCCGCAAUGGACGCAAGUCUGACGGAGCAACGCCGCGUGAGUGAAGAAGGUUUUCGGAUCGUAAAACUCUGUUGUUAGAGAAGAACAAGUGCUAGAGUAACUGUUAGCGCCUUGACGGUAUCUAACCAGAAAGCCACGGCUAACUACGUG